AUUCUUGCUUCGACAGAACAUAUACUAAAAUUGGAACGAUACAGAGAAGAUUAGCAUGGCCCAUCUUUAAUGCGGCAUCGAUUCAACUAUGGAUUGACGACUUAAUG